AUGAGCUGUGGUUCUAUCCAAGCAAUGGAGUCCGAGUAGUGUGGUAUAUGCAAGAACAUGUGAAACCAAAUUUGUGCAUUUGUGACUAGAAUGUAGGGCUGAGAAACAAAAUUGAUCAUCACUUCUAAAACCAAAGAUAAAUGUACAGAGAUACAUGAAGGGGGAAGCCGGCCGCCGCUUCGCGCGGGAGUCAACACUGUUCCCGGAGAGAGUCAGGGUGCUGUGCAGGAGAUUGCGGAAAGGUGUAAUAAAGAAACCAGGCGGGACUGAACAGCCUGAACAUCAUAUUACCAUCUUUUUAGAUUUUUUUUACUUUAUGAUUUUUGUAUAAUUAUUAUGUUGAUUGUUCCGUGCUUGUUAAGUGGGCCACUUAUUUCACUUUUGUAAUAACACACACAUACACUUAUUUUCUUUUCUCAAUAAAUUUUUCUUUCACCUCACCUUUUCAUUGUAUAGGUUUUUUACAUAUUCAUCCAGUUACCUUUUUUCUUUCAUUAUGUCUAGUUUCCUUUUAUUUUAUUUUGUUCAUUCAAAAUAAAAAAUUCCCCUUUAUAUAAACCUUCAUUUCCAAGAUUCUUUAUGGUGCACCGUUUUAAUACCAUUUAUACUUAACGAAUUAUAUCCAGGUGCGAUCCCCACAGCAUGAAUGUGCAUAUG